rnacentral:rRNA from 1 species
GAUGAACGCUGGCGGCGUGCCUAAUACAUGCCAGUCGAGCGAACAGACGAGGAGCUUGCUCCUCUGAUGUUAGCGGCGGACGGGUGAGUAACACGUGGAUAACCUACCUAUAAGACUGGGAUAACUUCGGGAAACCGGAGCUAAUACCGGAUAACAUGUUGAACCGCAUGGUUCAACAGUGAAAGACGGUCUUGCUGUCACUUAUAGAUGGAUCCGCGCCGCAUUAGCUAGUUGGUAAGGUAACGGCUUACCAAGGCAACGAUGCGUAGCCGACCUGAGAGAGUGAUCGGCGACACUGGAACUGAGACACGGUCCAGACUCCUACGGGAGGCAGCAGUAGGGAAUCUUCCGCAAUGGGCGAGAGCAUGACGGAGCAACGCCGCGUGAGUGAAGAAGGUCUUCGGAUCGUAAAACUCUGUUAUUAGGGAAGAACAAAUGUGUAAGUAACUAUGCACGUCUUGACGGUACCUAAUCAGAAAGCCACGGCUAACUACGUG